UUUAAUUUAAAGUCUAACCUGCCCAAUGAGUAUUUAAAUGGCCGCAGUAUUUUGACUGUGCAAAGGUAGCAUAAUCAUUAGUUUCUUAAUUAGUAACUGGAAUGAAAGGUUGGACGAGAAAAUAACUGUCUCUUUAUAAAUUAUUUAGAAUUUUAUUUUUAAGUUAAAAAGCUUAAAUUUUUUUAAAAGACGAGAAGACCCUAUAGAGUUUAAUUAAUUUAUUAAUUAAAUAUUGUUUAGAAUUUAUUAAUUUUAAUUAUUAAAUUAAUUUAAUUGGGGUGAUUGAAAAAUUUAUUUAACUUUUUUUAUAUAAAAACAUUAAUUUAUGAAUAUUUGAUCCAUAUUAAUGAUUAUAAGAUUAAAUUACCUUAGGGAUAACAGCGUAAUUUCUUUUUAGAGUUCUAAUCGAUAAAGAAGUUUGCGACCUCGAUGUUGGAUUAAAAUUAAUUUUUGGUGUAGAAGCUAAAAUAUUAGGUCUGUUCGACCUUUAAAAUUUUACAUGAUCUGAGUUUAAACCGGUGUGAGCCAGGUUGGUUUCUAUCUUUAAAUAUAUUUAAUAUUUUAGUACGAAAGGACCAAAUAUUGUAAAUAAUUUUAUUUAUAUUGAAUAUUAUUAAUUA
rnacentral:rRNA from 1 species